GACGAACGCUGGUGGCGUGCUUAACACAUGCAAGUCGAGCGAGCGGCGGACGGGUGAGUAAUGUCUGGGAAACUGCCUGCUGGAGGGGGAUAACUACUGGAAACGGUAGCUAAUACCGCAUACCCUCAGAUGUGCCCAGAUGGGAUUAGGUAGUAGGGGGGGUAACGGCUCACCUAGGCGACGAUCCCUAGCUGGGCUGAGAGGAUGACCAGCAACACGGGAACGGAGACACGGGCCAGACGCCUACGGGAGGCAGAAGUGGGGAAUAUUGCACAAUGGGGGCAAGCCUGAUGCAGCCAUGCCGCGUGUGUGAAGAAGGCCUUCGGGUUGUAAAGCACUUUCAGCGGGGAGGCGUUACCCGCAGAAGAAGCACCGGCUAACUCCGUGCCAGCCGCCGCGGUAAUAC
rnacentral:rRNA from 1 species